rnacentral:rRNA from 1 species
UACGGAGGGUGCAAGCGUUAAUCGGAAUUACUGGGCGUAAAGCGUGCGCAGGCGGUUUGUUAAGUCCGCUGUGAAAUCCCCGAGCUCAACUUGGGAAUUGCAGUGGAUACUGGCAAGCUGGAGUAUGGUAGAGGAAGGUGGAAUUCCCGGUGUAGCAGUGAAAUGCGUAGAGAUCGGGAGGAACACCAGUGGCGAAGGCGGCCUUCUGGACCAAUACUGACGCUCAUGCACGAAAAGCGUGGGGGAGCAA